UUAAUUGAAGCCAAAAAGAGGCCUAUCACUGUUAAUGAUAAAAUUGAAUAAAAAUUCCAAUUAAA
rnacentral:tRNA from 1 species